rnacentral:rRNA from 1 species
UACCAGACUCCUACGGGAGGCAGCAGUGGGGAAUAUUGCGCAAUGGGGGAAACCCUGAUGCAGCAACGCCGCGUGAGUGAAGAAGUAUUUCGGUAUGUAAAGCUCUAUCAGCAGGGAAGAAAAUGACGGUACCUGACUAAGAAGCUCCGGCUAAAUACGUGCCAGCAGCCGCGGUAAUACGUAUGGAGCAAGCGUUAUCCGGAAUUACUGGGUGUAAAGGGAGCGCAGGCGGUUUAGCAAGUCUGAUGUGAAAACCCGGGGCUCAACCCCGGACCUGCAUUGGAAACUGUUAAACUAGAGUGCCGGAGAGGUAAGUGGAAUUCCUAGUGUAGCGGUGAAAUGCGUAGAUAUUAGGAGGAGCACCAGUGGCGGAGGCGGCUUACUGGACGGUAACUGACACUGAGGCACGAAAGCGUGGGGAGCAAACAGGAUUAGAUACCCCCGUA